rnacentral:rRNA from 1 species
CCUACGGGGGGCAGCAGUGAGGAAUAUUGGUCAAUGGCCGUAAGGCUGAACCAGCCAAGUCGCGUGAAGGAAGAAGGAUCUAUGGUUUGUAAACUUCUUUUAUAGGGGAAUAAAGGUAUCCACGUGUGGAUAUUUGCAUUUACCCUAUGAAUAAGCAUCGGCUAACUCCGUGCCAGCCGCCGCGGUAAUACGGAGGAUGCGAGAGUUAUCCGGAUUUAUUUGGUUUAAAGUGGUCGUAGGUUGUUUUUUAAGUCAGCGGUGAAAGUUUGUGGCUCAACCAUAAAAUUGCCGUUGAAACUGGAAGACUUGAGUGUGUUUGAGGUAGGCGGAAUGCGUGGUGUAGCGGUGAAAUGCAUAGAUAUCACGCAGAACUCCGAAUGCGAAGGCAGCUUACUAAGCCAUAACUGACACUGAGGCACGAAAGCGUGGGGAUCAAACAGGAUUAGAUACCCCUGUAGUC